rnacentral:rRNA from 1 species
AACGAACGCUGGCGGCAUGCCUAACACAUGCAAGUCGAACGAGACCUUCGGGUCUAGUGGCGCACGGGUGCGUAACGCGUGGGAACCUGCCCUUAGGUUCGGAAUAACUCCCCGAAAGGGGUGCUAAUACCGGAUAAUGUCUUCGGACCAAAGAUUUAUCGCCUUUGGAUGGGCCCGCGUUGGAUUAGCUAGUUGGUAGGGUAAAAGCCUACCAAGGCGACGAUCCAUAGCUGGUCUGAGAGGAUGAUCAGCCACACUGGGACUGAGACACGGCCCAGACCCUACGGGGGGGGAGGGAGGGGGAAUAUGGGAAAGGGGGCAAAAGCGUGAACCAAAAGGGCCGGGAAGGUGGUGAAGGCCUGGGGGGUAAAAAUCUCUUUUACCGGGAGUAAAAAGACGGGAACCGGGGAAAAAGCCCCGGCUAACCCCGGG